rnacentral:rRNA from 1 species
GACGAACGCUGGCGGCGUGCUUAACACAUGCAAGUCGAACGGUGAAGGGACCAGCUUGCUGGUUCUGGAUGAGUGGCGAACGGGUGAGUAACACGUGAGUAACCUGCCCCCUUCUUCUGGAUAACCGCAUGAAAGUGUGGCUAAUACGGGAUAUUCUGGGUCUGUCGCAUGGCGGGCCCGGGAAAGAUAUUGCUUCGGUGGGGGAUGGGCUCGCGGCCUAUCAGCUUGUUGGUGGGGUGAUGGCCUACCAAGGCGGUGACGGGUAGCCGGCCUGAGAGGGUGGACGGUCACACUGGGACUGAGACACGGCCCAGACUCCUACGGGAGGCAGCAGUGGGGAAUAUUGCACAAUGGGCGCAAGCCUGAUGCAGCGACGCCGCGUGAGGGAUGGAGGCCUUCGGGGUGUAAACCUCUUUCGCCAGUGAAGCAGGCCUGCUCCUUGUGGGUGGGUUGACGGUAGCUGGAUAAGAAGCGCCGGCUAACUACGUG